rnacentral:rRNA from 1 species
AACGAACGCUGGCGGCAGGCUUAACACAUGCAAGUCGAGCGCCUCGCAAGAGGCGCGGCAGCCGGGUGAGUAACGCGUGGGAACGUACCCUUAUCUUCGGAAUAGCUCUGGGAAACUGGAAGUAAUACCGAAUGUGCCCUUAGGGGGAAAGAUUUAUCGGAUAAGGAUCGGCCCGCGUUGGAUUAGCUAGUUGGUGGGGUAAAGGCCUACCAAGGCGACGAUCCAUAGCUGGUCUGAGAGGAUGAUCAGCCACAUUGGGACUGAGACACGGCCCAAACUCCUACGGGAGGCAGCAGUGGGGAAUAUUGGACAAUGGGCGCAAGCCUGAUCCAGCCAUGCCGCGUGAGUGAUGAAGGCCUUAGGGUUGUAAAGCUCUUUCACCGGAGAAGAUAAUGACGGUAUCCGGAGAAGAAGCCCCGGCUAACUUCGUG